AACUGCGAAUGGCUCAUUAAAUCAGUUAUCGUUUAUUUGAUAGUACCUUACUACUUGGAUAACCGUGGUAAUUCUAGAGCUAAUACAUGCUUAAAAUCCCGACUGUUUGGAAAGGGAUGUAUUUAUUAGAUAAAAAAUCAAUGCCUUCGGGCUCUUUGAUGAUUCAUAAUAACUUUUCGAAUCGCAUGGCCUUGUGCUGGCGAUGGUUCAUUCAAAUUUCUGCCCUAUCAACUUUCGAUGGUAGGAUAGUGGCCUACCAUGGUUUCAACGGGUAACGGGGAAUAAGGGUUCGAUUCCGGAGAGGGAGCCUGAGAAACGGCUACCACAUCCAAGGAAGGCAGCAGGCGCGCAAAUUACCCAAUCCCGACACGGGGAGGUAGUGACAAUAAAUAACGAUACAGGGCCCUUUCGGGUCUUGUAAUUGGAAUGAGUACAAUGUAAAUACCUUAACGAGGAACAAUUGGAGGGCAAGUCUGGUGCCAGCAGCCGCGGUAAUUCCAGCUCCAAAAGCGUAUAUUAAAGUUGUUGCAGUUAAAAAGCUCGUAGUUGAACCUUGGGCUUGGCUGGCCGGUCCAUCUUUUUUGAUGCGUACUGGACCCAGCCGAGCCUUUCCUUCUGGCUAGCCUUUUUGGCGAACCAGGACUUUUACUUUGAAAAAAUUAGAGUGUUCAAAGCAGGCCUUUGCUCGAAUAUAUUAGCAUGGAAUAAUAGAAUAGGACGUUAUGGUUCUAUUUUGUUGGUUUCUA
rnacentral:rRNA from 1 species